rnacentral:lncRNA from 1 species
GCACAGGCAGCUUCUCCAGGGAAGGGCCGUCCGCGCGCCAGCGCACCUGGUGGUGGGCUGCGGGCAGGCACGACCCCCGGCGCGGGUGCGGGUGGUGAUGGCGGUUCCUGCAGACGCCUGGGACUUGCGGAGCGUGAAGCCGAGCGGCGCUAGGACCGCGGCAGAGGCGGCGCGCCGGCACAGUCGCCAGAUCCAGUUCCAAGUGCCGAACCGAACGCGGAGCCAGGAGAUGCAGUCUCACUCUGUGGCCCAGGCUGGAGUGCAGUGGCGUGAUCUUGGCUCACUGCAACCUCCAUCUCCUGAGUUCAAGCAAUUCUCCUGUCUCAGCCUCCUAAAUAGUUGGAAUUACAGGCAAGCACCACCACGCUCAGCUACAGGAAUUUAGCCAAUUCAGAGGAAAUCUUCCCCAUAAUUAUGGAACUUUCUUACAGAUUUUACCAAGUCUGGUCAACCCAAUAAGAAAAAGACUGAAAUAACAACAACAACUUCAACAAAUAAAAAAAAACAGUUAAGCUAAAUAAACAGAUGAUUGCAGAAUUUAUGUGAUUACUGGGUACUCUAAUGGUAAGGAGAAAUUAAGACCAGCUAGUUGUUAAUCUUAACUUUUAGUCAUUAAGGAGAAUUUCCAAGACAAAACUGCAAUCCAGCUGCUUACCUAGGAAUACGGCUUAGGCUGAAAACUUCUAUCGUCUUAGAAAUGGGAAUAAACCUCACACUCACCGUCCCUGUUGGAAGCAAGCUGAAACUCCAAAAAAAAAGUUGCCUGUUGUCCAUCAUCAUGGUGAAGCGGCGUCGUUGUCUGGGUUCUGAAGGCUGGGAAGUCCAAGAUUAAGGCGUCAACAGGUCUUGUGUCUGCUGAGGGCUGUCUCCCUGAUUUGCAGAUGUCUGCUUUCUUGCUGUGUCCUCACAUGGGAAAAAGAGAGAGAAUUUGCUGGUAUUCCUUUUUAUAAGGACACUAACCCCAUUCAUGAGGGUCCCACCCUCAUGACCUCGCCUAAACCUAUAACCUCCAAGGACUCCAUUUCCAAAUACCAGCAACCACAUGUGUGAGCUUAGAAGAGGAUCCUUCCCCAGGUGAGCCUUGAGAUGACCCUGGCCUGUGACUUGAUGGCAGCUUUUGAGAGACUGAGCCAGAGGCCUCCAGGUAAGCCCUUCUCAGAUUCCUGAACCACAGAAACUGUGAGAUAAUCAAUUUUAUUGAUAUCUUGUGGAUAUUGAUAUCCCCAGUUUUAUUGUGGAAUAGAUAACUGCCACACAGCUCCUGACAACUGGCAUCUUGACACAUGUUCUGUGCUCCAGGUCCCAGUAACUGUGCCCAUCCAUUGUUACCACAGGUCACAGUGGCCCUGGCCCUGGGGCAUUAUACUCUCUCUUGGUGUAUUAGUCCAUUCUUAGGCUGCUAAUAAAGAUAUAUCUGAGACUGGGUAAUGUAUAAAGAAAAA